UGGACGCCGAUGACACAGGGGCAGGGGCCUCCAUCAUUACCCGGCAGUAUUAGAGACUCCCAACCAGCACCCAAACACUGCUGGGUAAGACGAGGGCCCCUACCCAACCAGUCCA
ensembl:miRNA Mir3575 microRNA 3575